ACGAACGCUGGCGGCGUGCCUAAUACAUGCAAGUUGAGCGCUGAAGGUUGGUACUUGUACCAACUGGAUGAGCAGCGAACGGGUGAGUAACGCGUGGGGAAUCUGCCUUUGAGCGGGGGACAACAUUUGGAAACGAAUGCUAAUACCGCAUAAAAACUUUAAACACAAGUUUUAAGUUUGAAAGAUGCAAUUGCAUCACUCAAAGAUGAUCCCGCGUUGUAUUAGCUAGUUGGUGAGGUAAAGGCUCACCAAGGCGAUGAUACAUAGCCGACCUGAGAGGGUGAUCGGCCACAUUGGGACUGAGACACGGCCCAAACUCCUGCGGGAGGCAGCAGUAGGGAAUCUUCGGCAAUGGACGAAAGUCUGACCGAGCAACGCCGCGUGAGUGAAGAAGGUUUUCGGAUCGUAAAACUCUGUUGGUAGAGAAGAACGUUGGUGAGAGUGGAAAGCUCAUCAAGUGACGGUAACUACCCAGAAAGGGACGGCUAACUACGUG
rnacentral:rRNA from 1 species